AAGCACUGUAAUGUAACCAUAUUUGACUUGGCCAAUUGGAAAUCUAGGACCACAUGACAAAAGGAUAACAGGAACACUACAUCAAGACUCCCAAUUUACAGUCUUCCUGCUUUAGAAAUAAGAUUAGUUUAAUUCUUUGUUUGGGCUAAUUAUAUUAAGUCUAACAUUUCAAUCAAAUGUAACAUAAAUAUGAAUCCUCUUGAACUCCUCUGCAGGGUUUACCUGUCUGUCGCAACUAAGCCAGUCACCUCACAAGCUGGCUUCCUAUCCUUCUGGUCUGUGUGAAUACUGAAACAUGUUCACAGAGGAGUCUCAUUCAGAGAGAGUUUGGCAGUAACCCAGAACUAACAGAGGCAGAGGAUCUCUCUUUUGGCUGCUGCUGACAACAACUGCAUUCAGGCAACAACCCAUACUGUACUGACGGUAGAUAGCCCAGUGGCUAAGGAGUGGGACCAGUGGCAGGAGUUUUACCUGUGGACGAAAGGUGGCCAGUUGGAAAAAAAUGAACAAAAUGUAUCUGAUAACUAUAGGGCUGAUGGUUUCACAUCCUCAAAAACAUUCCCCCGACCGUUGGACCCUUGAGCAAGGCCCUUAACCCCACAACAUGCUCUCCAUCCAGGUGCGCUGGAUGGAGAGCCUGCGACCGUCUCAACUGU